GUAAGACUUUCAUAAAUAAAUACAUACAUACAUACAUACAUAAUUGUUCAGUAUAAUCCUAUGUUGUCAUUGUUUUCUUUUUAUUUAUUUAUUUAUUGCUUUUUAGAUGGAGUUUUGCUCUUGUUGCCCAGGCUGGAGAGCAAUGGCAUGAUCUUGGCUCACCGCAACCUCUGCCUCCCGGGUUCAAGCGAUCCUCCUGCCUCAGCCUUCCGAGUAGCUGGGAUUACAGGCAUGCGCCACCAUGCCCGGCUAAUUUUGUAUUUUUAGUAGAGACGGGGUUUCUCCAUGUUGGUCCAGCGCUGGUCUCAAACUCCUGACCUCAGGUGAUCCAGCCACCUCGGCCUCCCAAAGUGCUGGGAUUACAGGCGUGAGCCACCACGCCCAGCCUUGUUGUUUUCUUUUUAAGAGGGUGGGGAGAGGCAGAGGCAAGUGGAAUUGGAACCAGGACCUAAAGUCGGCUCCUUUUGCAGCUUGGCUUCUGGGUGGGGUUGAUGUCUGAGGGUGGGACCCCAGGGAUCCAAGACAGAAGAAAAGCCAGUGUUUCCACUCCCACCUCGCCCUCACCCCAGACAAGCAGGUGAUCAGAGGCAGCAACCGGAACUAGUUCUCACCCAAAACUAGUAAACAGGAAUCCUACAUCGAAAUGAGCCCAUCUUCUUUACACCAAGGUUGAUUCUCCUUACACCUUGUGCACCUUCCCUGGAGCUAUGGUUUAAAUGUUCCUGCCAAAACUCAAGUUGAAAUUUAACUGUCAAUGUAAUGGUAUUAACGAUGGGAACUUUAAGAGGAGAUUAAUGCUCCUAUCUCAGGAGUGGAUUAGUGAUCUCAAGAAUGGGCUUCAGAAAAAAGGACAAGUUCAGCCCCCGUUUGAUCUCUCUGUCUAGUGUGCUCACUCCGCCUUCCACCUUCUGCCAUGGGAUGACCCUCCCCAGACGCUGAUGCCACGUUUUUGGACUUCUCUGCCUCCAGAACUGAUUCCAGGGACCUGGGAUGGUCUGUAUUCUUGGCAGUUCUCAAGAUCUACGAGUCUUAUUUCCUGUUAACUUUUUUCCUUUUGCUUGAUCCUAUCGGGCACAUGGAUCUUCCUAAAGUUUUGAUUCUGUAAUUAGUGCUACCAUAAAAAACUGUACAAUUUUGGAGAGUGUUUUU
rnacentral:lncRNA from 10 species